rnacentral:rRNA from 1 species
UACGUAGGUCCCGAGCGUUGUCCGGAUUUAUUGGGCGUAAAGCGAGCGCAGGUGGUUUAUUAAGUCUGGUGUAAAAGGCAGUGGCUCAACCAUUGUAUGCAUUGGAAACUGGUAGACUUGAGUGCAGGAGAGGAGAGUGGAAUUCCAUGUGUAGCGGUGAAAUGCGUAGAUAUAUGGGGGAACACCGGUGGCGAAAGCGGCUCUCUGGCCUGUAACUGACACUGAGGCUCGAAAGCGUGGGGAGCAAAUAGG